rnacentral:rRNA from 1 species
UACGUAGGGUGCAAGCGUUGUCCGGAAUUAUUGGGCGUAAAGAGCUCGUAGGCGGUUUGUUGCGUCGGCUGUGAAAUCCCGAGGCUCAACCUCGGGUCUGCAGUCGAUACGAGCAAACUAGAGUGUUGCAGGGGAGACUGGAAUUCCUGGUGUAGCGGUGAAAUGCGCAGAUAUCAGGAGGAACACCAGUAGCGAAGGCGACACUCUGGGCCGGUACUGACGCUGAGGAGCGAAAGCGUGGGGAGCAAACAGG